UCUCUCCAAGGAAAAAGCCUUUCCUUAUCCUCUUUCCCUCGUCUAGAUCAAAUCCGGUGAAGUAGCGGCUAGGGAGGUCGAGGCGAGGCGGCGGACCGGACGAGCCUGGAGAGCAGAUCAGCCGGCGAGCCGGACCAGUAGCGACGCCGUCUCCUCCUUGCUCUUUCUAUGAGCAAGAUCAGGGGUCGCCCAGCCGCCCGCCUCCCAGCGCCGCCCGCCGCGCCAAGUACACCCCGGCCGCCUCCUCCACUUGCCUACUCCCGGCGACGCGCGCCGCGCCUAGCACGCGCCCCGACCGUUCCCCUCCUUCUGCCUCCUCCUAGCGACGCACGCCGAGGCCGGGAGGGACUGUUUCCCUAGGCCCCCAACGCCAACGAUCGAUUACAGUGCCAUCUAGGUGUUGUUGAUGCAUACUUGGGUGGGAGAUUGAACAUAGGUGCCAACUUUCUUCUGUCGGCAGAGGUAUGUGCAGCUCCGAUGAAAUAUGAGUUGUUGUAUAUGACUAUUCUGAUACAAAUGUUUCCUCCCAGCAAUGAAUGUGCUGAUAUUUUUGGAUUACUAUCUUCUGAACUUGUAGUUUGUGACACACAUUGACCAUUCAAAGAAGAAGUAGAAGUUUGGUUUUGGGAUAUAGUAGGAGAGUAGAUAUGUUCAUAGCAAUUACCAUGAGAGGACUAUAGAUGUCUCCUCAGUUCGUUAUAAGUGCAGGUUUACCAGAUGGUCUAGGUUCAGUGUUCUGGGCUACAGAUGACUCCUCAAGCGUUCAACCUCUUUGGGUGAACUUGUGGUUGUCUCAUUUUUAGCUACGUUAGAUAACAUGGGCUUUUGGGCGUCUAUGAUUUACAAGCUGAAACGUUGUUGUGAUAAAAAUAUGCAUUGGCAGUUGAGCUUACCGGUCGGGCGUCACGCCUCCGAGCUCCUACGUGGAGGACGACCUAGACCCCAAAUUUGGUGUUUCGUGUCUGCAGUUGCGGUUUCCGGUGAGGUUCUGGUCGUCAUGGCUGUGGUGGGUAGGUGGGGCAUAGGGACGGAUUUCUUGCUUCGGUCCCAAUGUAUGUUGCGUCGAGACUACAUGUCAUCUCGGUGGUGGUGCAAAUGUAGUCUAGGUGGUGGUGGUGCACACACACAUAUAUGCUCAUUUGGCCUGCAAAUGUAGUCUAGUUACACAUAUAUUUGUUGUUUAGUUGGCAGGAUUAGUUACACACACAUAUGCUCAGUUGGCCUGCAAUGUAGUCUAGUUGCAUACACAUUGAUGUUUAGUUGGCAGGACUAGUUGCACACACAUAUACUCGGUUGGCCUGCAAUAUAGUCUAGUUGCACACACAAUAAUGUUUAGUUGGCAAGAUUAGUUGCACACACAUAUACUCAGUUGGCACGGCAUGAGGAUGCAGAGUUGUUGUCGUGCGCUGCGAUAGAAUGCAGAGUUGAUGCCGCGUGUGGUGACGACUGCGAGGAACCGCGCGUGGCGACAACAUUUUCUCGGGGUUGCCGCAGAUUGUUAACUCAACCCCUUCUAUGUAUUUUUCUAGGAAAAACAGUCAAAUUCAUUUGUACAGAUGCAUCGCUUUUGUGAUCCUGCUAGUCAAUCUCUGGUAUGAUGCUUGGAUUUUUGAUGAUUGGAGUGUUGAUCUGUACAAGAGUUUUUUAGAAUUGUGAUCUUCAAGUUUUUUAGAAUUGUCCCAAGAGUAUAUAACGACUUGGCAUCCUCAAACUUUCUAGUUACAGAAUAGUAUCUAAUUAGUUGGCAAUCUCAGGAAUCGGGGAGGCAAUUCCUUUCGUGAGAGCCGUCGUGCGCAGUGGGUGGCGGUUUCGAAUUUCGUGCCCUUAUCCCCCACUUCUCGCGGCGGUCUCCAUUUCGCCGUUGGGUGUUGCAGAGGCGGAAGCGAGGGUGCGGUCGAAGGCGGAAGCGAGGGUGCGAUCGAAGCCGGGGCGCGCCGCGAGGAUCGUCGUUCACGGCGGCAUAGGUACGGCUCCCCGCGCGCGCCUUCUCUUUGUGCUCUAUUUCUCCAAUGGCCUGUCUCCCUUUUUCCGGCGAGGUCGCAUGUUUUCCGGUGAGGUCGAGAUCGAGGUCAUUUCUCUUGUGUUUAUUUUCCGGCGAGGUCGAGGUCGUUUCCGCGGAUUAUUCCGUUUGGUUCUCAGAGGGAUUGGCGGGGGUGGGCUAGGGUCGUACUUAUUCCCGUUGAUUUUUGCGUUGCAGUAGGGGAGAGCUCCGGUAUGUAUGUACGGGAUGAGUGGUUCAGGGAGGAGUGGUUCACGGCGAUGGAUCCCGUGCGCGGCGGCGGAUCUGGUGUUAUUGAUGUGUGUUUUUACCCCUCGGUGUGCAACUAGGUUGCCCCUUGUGUGCAAAUUAGGAGCAGCAGUAGACAAUUUUUGAGAUGAUAUAGCCACUCUGCCAGCCUUGUUGUGGUGGAUCUGGUGUUUCAUGUGUUUUUCCCUGCUGUGUGCAACUAGGGACUCUUGUGCAAAUUAGAAUUAAUGCUUGCCAAUUUUCUAAUUUGCUCUACCAAAUCUAUCAGCCUUUGUGGUGGAUCUGGUGGUUCAUGUGUUUUCCCUGCUGUGUGCCACUAAGGACCCUUACUUGUGCAAAUUAGUACCAAUACAUGCCAAUUUUUCAAUAUACCCGUCCAAAUCUGCUAGCCUUGUGGUGGAUCUGGUGGUUCAUGUGUUUUUUCCCUAUUGUGUACAACUAGGGACCAUUACAUGUGCAAAUUAGUACUAAUCCUUGCCAAGUGUCCAAUAUACUCUACUAAAUCUGCCAGCCUUGUGGUGGAUCUGAUGGUUCAUGUGUUUUUCCCUGCUGUGUGCGACUACGGACCCUUACUUGUGCAAAUUAGUAUCAAUGCUUGCCAAUUUUUCAAUAUACUCUAUCAAAUCUGUUUUUUUUGGUUUUCUGUAUGUGUUAUCUGGGUGUUUAAUCUAGCAAUCGGGUGUUUGCCCUUUUUUUGUGCAAAUUAGCACACCACUAGCCAAUAUCAGUUAUAAUCGAGGCAUUUUAGAUUUGUUUUUUCUGUAUGCGUGCUUUGGGUGUCAAUUUCCAAUAUAAUCUAGCCAACUGGGGUGCCUCCUGUGUGCAAAUUAGCAGCAAUCUAGCCAACUUUUUUUUGGGUUUUUUGUAUGUGUGCUUUUUGGGUGUCAUUUUACCGAUAAAACCUAGACAACCAGAAGAUUCCUUUUGUGUGCAAAUUAGCAGCACUACUAGGCAUUUUCAGAUAUAAUAUAGUGAUUUUUUUUUUGUUUUUUGCGCACCCCCGGGAGAUGCUAUAAUGUGCAACUGAGGGUGCCCUAAUGUGCAACCUGUUUUUGUUUGCAAACUAGGGGGUGCCUUUUUAAUAUGCAAUAUAUGCGUUUUAUUAGCCAUUUUUUUAUUGGCAAAUAGGCAAUAAUUUCUGUGCAACUGGGGGUGCUCUACUGUGCAACUUUUUGAGUUUGUGUACAACAGCUGACCCUUUUUUGUUUUUGUCUCCUAUGCAGAUCAACCAAAAUGGAUGGCAGUGAGGC
rnacentral:lncRNA from 1 species